AAAGUCGUAACAAGGUUUCCGUAGGUGAACCUGCGGAAGGAUCAUUACUGAGUGAGGGCCCCUCGGGGUCCAACCUCCCACCCGUGUUUAACGAACCUUGUUGCUUCGGCGAGCCCGCCUCACGGCCGCCGGGGGGCAUCUGCCCCCGGGCCCGCGCCCGCCGAAGCCACCUGUGAACUCGUCUGAAGUAUGCAGUCUGAGACAAUUAUUAAAUUAAUUAAAACUUUCAACAACGGAUCUCUUGGUUCCG
rnacentral:misc_RNA from 1 species